rnacentral:rRNA from 1 species
UACGAAGGGGGCUAGCGUUGCUCGGAAUUACUGGGCGUAAAGUGUGCGCAGGCGGCACCGCAAGUCGAGUGUGAAAGCCCCGGGCUUAACUUGGGAAUUGCGCUCGAAACUAUGGUGCUGGAGUGUGGCAGAGGAAGGUGGAAUUCCAGGUGUAGCGGUGAAAUGCGUAGAGAUCUGGAGGAACACCGAUGGCGAAGGCAGCCUUCUGGGCCAACACGUGACCGCUCAUGCACGAAAGCGUGGGGAGCAAACAGG